AACGAACGCUGGCGGCAUGCCUAACACAUGCAAGUCGAACGAGACCUUCGGGUCUAGUGGCGCACGGGUGCGUAACGCGUGGGAACCUGCCCUUAGGUUCGGAAUAACUCCCCGAAAGGGGUGCUAAUACCGGAUAAUGUCUUCGGACCAAAGAUUUAUCGCCUUUGGAUGGGCCCGCGUUGGAUUAGCUAGUUGGUAGGGUAAAAGCCUACCAGGGCGACGAUCCAUAGCUGGUCUGAGAGGAUGAUCAGCCACACUGGGACUGAGACACGGCCCAGACUCCUACGGGAAGCAGCAGUGGGGAAUAUUGGACAAUGGGCGAAAGCCUGAUCCAGCAAUGCCGCGUGAGUGAUGAAGGCCUUAGGGUUGUAAAGCUCUUUUACCCGGGAUGAUAAUGACAGUACCGGGAGAAUAAGCUCCGGCUAACUCCGUG
rnacentral:rRNA from 1 species